GAUGAACGCUAGCUACAGGCUUAACACAUGCAAGUCGCGGGGCAGCAUGGGGGUUGCUUGCCAUCCCCGAUGGCGACCGGCGCACGGGUGAGUAACGCGUAUCCAACCUGCCCUUCACCACGGGAUAACCCGGCGAAAGUCGGACUAAUACCGUAUGUUGUCCAUUGACGGCAUCCGAUUUGGACGAAAGGUUUGGCGGUGAAGGAUGGGGAUGCGUCCGAUUAGCUGGACGGCGGGGUGACGGCCCACCGUGGCGACGAUCGGUAGGGGUUCUGAGAGGAAGGUCCCCCACACUGGAACUGAGACACGGUCCAGACUCCUACGGGAGGCAGCAGUGAGGAAUAUUGGUCAAUGGGCGUAAGCCUGAACCAGCCAAGUAGCGUGCAGGAUGACGGCACUAUGGGUUGUAAACUGCUUUUAUGCGGGGAUAAAGUGGCCCACGUGUGGGUUUUUGCAGGUACCGCAUGAAUAAGGACCGGCUAAUUCCGUG
rnacentral:rRNA from 1 species